UCCCGCCCGCUUUUCAAAUCGGAUUUGCAUAGCCAGGCCCCCUCGCCACGCCGAGCCUGCAGCGCCGUCUCAUUGGUUUGCUCUUUCGGCCGGGCCUUCCAAUCGCGAGGGGCUUCGGGACUUUGCCGGCUCCUCAUUGGGCUGCGGAGGCGCGGGGUUGCCCUGUUUUGCAUAGUGCUUGUCCAUUGGCUGUGGCUUCGGGGGAUUCCCUUCUGAGCGGCUGGGAUUCCGUACGCCGGGCUGACUGCUUUCCCUCCUCCUCCUGCUUCUCCUGGCGCUGAGCUGCGCGCGUUCCCGAGCUUGGAAAAGGCAGGGAAAGCCCGCAGGUGCCUGGCUGAAGGCCAGCGAAAUUGGUCUCACAAGUGAGUGAAUGGGAGAACUCAGAACUCGUCAGAAAUUACAUUUUAUAGCCCGGCCUUAGACUUUUUUUUGCAGAAGUAAGCACUGAUUUCAAUGAGACAUACAGUACUUCGAAUAAGUUUGAUCGGCGGUAUUAGCCAAGUAACUGAGACUGAGUCCCAUUGACCUCAGGGAUCUUAAUCAGACAUUAUAUGUAUAUGACAGCGCUGUAAAUAAGUCUUGUCUAGACUUGCCAGGUGUUAUGAAAAUGAAUGUAGCCUAGUAACUUUUGUUUCCAUUGCUGCAUUGCUAGGGGGUUGGACUAGAUGACCCUUGGUGUGUGCCUUCCAACUCUACAAUUCUAUGAUCCUUUGAAACAGAUAUGCAAUUAUUUACCCAAGACAAGAAGUGAUCCAAAUGGCAGCUGUUGUUGUUUAAAUUAUAAACAAAUAUUGUUCAAACAUACCCUUUUACAUUCCAGAAUAUACUUCCCCAGAUGAUGUGAACCUCUUCUUUCCUGUCCAUUGUAAUAUAAGUUAUUUUCUUUUUAUCCCGAAUGUUCUUCCAUAGGCAUUUUGUGCAGAGAAAAAGUGUUGUGACCAUAUUCCCUUGCAUUGAAUUUGGAAGUCUGGAGGAUACUGCAUUGAACAGGUCACGUUGAAAACCUUCAGAUAUUUUCAAAACAUUUGAUCAAAGCCAUGGAAAAGGGGAAUGCCAUGACUCAGGGAUCAUAGACCAUCUGCUAUGUGUUCAGGUCCCAGAUUUAAUCCCUGGCAUCUCUGGGUAGGGCUUGGAGAGUCUUUGGUCUAAAAUCCUGGAAAGCCGCAACCAAUGAAGGUGGACAUUAGUGAGCUAGGUGGACCAAUGGUCUGACUCAGCAUAAAGAAGCGCCCUUUCUUCCUAAAUCCAUGUGUGCAGUGGGGCCCCAGUCUGCUCUGGAGGGUUCCUUAACCCCCUAGAGCAGAUUUAGGGGGCACAUGGGAGGCUGAAGGAGGUAGGAAAAGAAGAAGCCCUGUUGUACAAAUAGAUGCCUGCUCACCAUAUGUUGCUCUACCACUCACACUUAGCUCAAAUAGGUGUAAUUUUGUUUGCCACAUUGAUUCUAUGCUACCUUUUCCUCAGCUUCCAGUCUUCCCCUCUUUUGGGAAUUUGUUGCCUUUUAUUCCCUCUGUUAUUACUUCCAUGAUUCUCAUUUACACUGUAAGCUCCUUGUGACCUGCCUUGUUUACUUAUGUUUCUUUGUAAGAUGUACGUUGAGGUUUUUUAUAAAUAAUAAUCUUUUUAAAAUCUUAGAGAAUUUCACAGAACUAUUCUUCAGGCAUUGUGUGUGAUGUGUAACCAUAGCACAUUUGUAGCCUAAACAAUGUCUUUUAAAGCAGCAAAGAAUGUAUUUUAAAAGCACCAGUCAACAGCAUUUCCUCAAGAUAUUAUCUAUCAAGAACAGAAGCAGCCAGAAUGAUUAAUGGUGAUUAUACUGAAGUGUUGGGGAGACUGGGGUUUGUUUUUAUUGUUCCAUAAGGCCUUGUUGUAAUCUUAAUUUCCUUUUGUAAUUUUUGAUAUCUACACCGUAUCUUUCUCUCUUUUUUACUGUAAAUCACCUUAAGAUUUUUCUGUAAGGCAUUGAACAUAUGAAAUAAAUAAUAGAGCUCAUUUUGAA